ACGACAUAAUCGGGAGCGGGCGCCUCGCAGAGGCCCUGAGGGAAGCCGGUGCGAAUCCGGCGUGGUCCCGCCGCUGUAACCGGGGACGAAAGCCGCCAAUAAGCCACUGCCGACUAAUGAAGACGGUGGGAAGGCGGCGGCCGUAGGAUGAUCCGGAAGCCAGAAGACCUGCCCGCCCCUGCAAGCCGCC
rnacentral:ncRNA from 1 species